rnacentral:piRNA from 1 species
UCUUGGCUCAAAAUUGUUAUG